rnacentral:lncRNA from 1 species
CUUAUUAGACUUCAACUUAUAUUUGUAAUGUUUUAUAAUAAAUGUAUUCAAUUAUUCAUUCAUCUACUCCGGUUAAACAUUUCUAUCCUUGACCCUGUAGCUUUUCUGGGUCGAUAACUUGUUUGGUUUGCAAAAUAUUGGUUAAAAUAUUGAAGUAAAGGCUACUCUUUGGUUCAUUAGAAGAAGGCAGAUGUGAAAUGGACAAUUAGAACAAGGUAUUGUAAAACUGACAGACUAAUAGUUUAACUUCAAUAGCUCAUAGAAAAUGCUAUUUAUUACAAGUUUCUAAUAUAAUCCAAUAGCCAGCUUCUUUGCCAAGUUAAGAAAGCCCUGAAACUAGAUGUCCUUGGAUUCAAUUCUCAUCCCCAGACCAUCACACAGUAUUUAAUUAAAGCUUGCACAUGUGCAUCGAUGAAAUGCAGAAACACACUGCUACUUCUCGAUAUUAUAAAGCUAACUAGUCAUUUUCCAUGAGCCAAACCAAAAAGAAAGCUCAGGUGGCGUCUAGACGUAGCUUGUACAACCAUUGACACAAUUAAAUUCUCAUCAGGUGCGACAGAAUAAAAGAGGAUUUUGCUACAGGUACCCGAAGCUUUAAUCAAUUAUACGUAUACCGUACACAUUUGUAUAUAUACUGUUGGAAUCAUGCCAGACGACGUGGAAACCACGCCGUAAAGGCGAACAAAGUUCCCGACCUGCACCAAGCGAAUCUGAGACGACUGCAACAAAAAGAUAUACGUAUUUAUGGAUAAUUAGAUCCGUGAGAGACAGUGUGCGCGUGAAAUUUUGAGAAGGGUUUGGUUGAUUUGGAAAAGCUAGUAGGGAUGGUUAUUUAUAGCUGGAUUAAAUCCACGAGAUGUUGCCACGUGUCGGUAUAAAAAUGCCAGUAUAAACACUGAGAAAGUUAGGUGAACAAGAAACGGCAUUCAUAUCGUGAAGAACUUGAAACCGUAGUCUUGGAUUUGUAUUUAAUUACGGUGUUUGCCAAUUGAUGAAUGGAUUUAUUUCUCUUCUCGUGGAGCUACAGGAAUUACACGUGCUUUGUAUGUUACGAGAAAGUGGAAGUAAGGUAGAUCUCACGAUCGAUCAUAAGGCAUGAAUGUUAAGAGGGUGUUUGAUAUCCAUUUUUAUGUAAAAAUGUAUUUUAGAAUAGUAAAUUGAUGGGAAAUGAGUGGUUGAAAAAUAAAGAAAUUUUUUUGAUUUACGUGUAAUAUUAUUUUAAUAAAGAAUGUAUGGUUGAAAAGAAAGAGAGAGAAAAAUGCAUUUUGAAAAAAAUGAGUACCAAACGGGAGGUAAAUGGAUUGAGUCAGAUCACUUUAUUUAUUUAUCAUUGGGUUUGGUUCAAUUCAUUGAGCAAGAGGCUUGUUCUCGCUUGUGAGAUGAGCUUACUCAUGGGCCACUCACAACUCAUGAAUUCCCUUUUUCUUUUUUCUUUGUUCAAAGAAUAAUGGUAUUCAUAGUAAAGAUUACUAGAAGUCGUCUAACAUGGUACGAACAUGAUAAUUUGUUAUCUGAUGUAUAAAACAAUAAAAAACUACCCUAUUAUAUAUUAAAUAACAAAUUAUUAUAUGUGUGUCACGUAGAGCGACUACCGAUAAUCUUCGCUAUGAAUAAGGUUUGGAAAGCUCUCUCCAUCUUCAUCCACUUGUAUUCGAGCAUGAUGAGAUUUAAAAUAUUCACAUUUACAUUUAUUCAUUUUUAAUAUAAUUUAAAUUAUAAAAUAAAAAAUAAACAGAGAAUGUUAUCAUUCCUAAGAGUAGGUCCACUAUAUAUUUUUCAAUGAAAUUGUGAUGAACAUUAGUGCAUGAUAUAAUCCUGAACUAGUGAAUAUAAUCAUAUUAUUCGAUUUAAAAAUUAUUGCUAUUAAAUUUAACUGAUUAAAGGUUUCGAUGCGAACUAGAUCGUUGUACGAUCGGAAUCGUUUAGCAAUUGUACAAAUCAAUAGGGUUUCAUUAGAAAUCAACAAACCAAUAUCAUCAUCAUCAAUUUUUGAAAAUUCAAAAUUUUAUCACGCUGUGUUAAACUGAGUGCAACAAAA